rnacentral:misc_RNA from 1 species
GUUUGAAGUUGGUGGAGAGGUAGAGUUUCCGUUUCCACCAGGAACUUACAGCCUAUACUUCAGGUUGCAAUUGGGUCGGUCAUCGAAGAGGUUUGGCCGUCGAAUCUAUAACCUCGAGCACGUUCAUGGUUGGAACAUAAAGCCCGUGCAAUUUCAGCUUUGGACUUCAGAUGGUCAGCAUGCCAAAACUCAAUGCUAUUUAGACGAAG